UAAAGGGGCAUGACUAUGUAGUUUAGUUAGAAAGUGAGCGAGCGUUGUGCUUUCAGCAACAGCACUGUUGCUCCAGUUCAUACAGGUGCACGCACUGUAAAUGCACACAGCCUGCUUGUACAGGUAUCUCCGUACGCUGUUAGCGCCACAAAAAUCCUGGCCCGCGGUAACGUCUCAUAUGCUCAAAGUAUUAAUGUCUUAUUUAUGAGCGUUACCCUACAAAUAUUUGAGAUGUCAAGAUAUCCAUCGAAGGAGCAAAAUAUGAUCUCCUUAUUCAUUCGGACCUACAACUACGUCACACGUGAAGCCAGCGAUGAGACGUCUCUCUGGUUGAAAAAAGAAAAAAGGACAGAACAGAACACAGAUGAAACGCAACUGUUCUUUCUCGGUGAGACCUCAACCCCCCAGAGGACUUGUGCUGCAAUUACAGACAUGUUGUGGGUUUUGCAUGAAGGACGAAAAAAAUGGAUAGAGUUUCACUAUACCAGCCGUCCAGCUUCGUUGUUGUGAAGGUCAAUCAAGG